AUAUUUCUUCUAACAUUAUCUGGCAAUUUUGUCAAGCAAUCCUUAAUUUUCAGCGAAAAAAAUGGCAGAUGAAGUUGUCCUUUUGGAUACCUAUGUAAGCGUGUUUGGGAUGAGGGUUAGGUUUGCGCUGGCCGAGAAAGGCAUAAAGUAUGAAUACAAGGAGCAGGAUUUGCUGAACAAAACCCCUCUUCUCCUACAAAUGAACCCAAUUCACAAGAAAAUUCCAGUCUUGAUUCACAAUGGAAAACCAAUAUGUGAAUCUCUCAUUAUUGUUCAGUACAUAGAUGAAGUUUGGAAGGACAACUCCCCUUUGAUGCCUUCUGAUCCUUGAUCCACAAUGGAAAACCAAUAUGUGAAACCCUUAUCAUUGUUCAGUACAUAGAUGAAGUUUGGAAGGACAAAUCCCCUUUAAUGCCCUCCGACCCUUAUGAGAGAGCUCAAGCUAGGUUUUGGGCUGAUUAUAUUGACAAAAAGGUAUGCAAAAUAUCACAAUAUAUAUGUUUUACUAUAGAUUCUAUGCUUUUAACGGUCUUUUAGAGAAUUUCUUUGUUUUAUUUUAUGUGAUGUUGGUCUUAGAUGGAUUUUUAAAUGGAGAAUUGUGGUCAGUGAGAAUUCAUACCCAACUUGUUUGGAACUGAAAUAUAGUUCUAAGUUAUUAUUUUUGGUCAAUUUUCAAGAUUUAUAUUUUACAAAAUGUCAAUGAAGAGAUAAGGAGUACCAAAUGGGCGAGCUAGACUAAACUAGGUAAAUUAAGUCGGGUUGAAUCAAUAAACAUACAAGGUAGUAAGAUAUUUGUCCGUCUAAAUUAAUUUUGAUUGCUAAAGACGGACAGAUCUAUUUGAGCUAAACAAUGGAUCAUAUGACCAAUCCCGACUCACCCAACUCAAAAUCAUUUUUUAUUUAUAUAUUUGCUCAUUUAUUUUUUUUUCGAUUAUCAAAUUAAACUACUUGAGUUUUUUUUAAUUUGUUUAUCGUGAAAAAAUCUAACCAAUCAAUUGAAAAACUUACUUUCCUAUGCUUUUUGAUAAGUUUUUCUUGUAAAGUCAAUAUGGUUAUACUGGCUGCCUAGAUCGGCCUAAGCUUUUGGACGAACUAACUUGAGUCAUGUUUAACUAACUUCCUAAUGAAAAUAUACAACCAGCCCAACUUAUCCACACUUGCGCACAUUGGAGGGAGGAAAAAAAUUAGAAACUGAUAAUUGAAUGAUAGCCACAAUUUCAAAAGUAAUCGAAAUAUAUCUCUUUUCAUGAGAAAGGUAAAAUCUGAACAAGAACAAUUUUAAAAUCCGAAAAAAUUUCAGCAUAAUAUGUUGGAGUUUGAAUUUUUUAAAUAUGAGAUUCAAACAAAAUGCUGAAUUUCCAACAUAAUAUGGUGUAAGUUUCUAUACAAGAACUCCAUAAUCCAGCAUAUUAUAUUGAAACUUAUGUGUUUCAGCUAGAAUAUUUUUGUUCAAAUUUUAUCUUCGGAUAAAAUAAUGGCUAUUGACUUUGCAGAGGCUAACUAUUUUUCAAUUAACGAUCCAAAAAUUGGCUAGCCAUGCUAUUUUCACCACAUUGAAGGUUGUAUUUUUAUGAGAUAAAUUUGGUAGAAAAAGAUAUAAUCUUCUUUUAUUAUUUAUGUAUUUUGGGCGAUUGCAGAUUUAUGAUGCUGGAAGGAAAAUUUGGACUACAAAAAAGGAGGAUCAAGAAGCAGCAAAUAAAGAAUUCAUAGAGUGCUGGAAGUUAUUGGAAGGGGAGUUAGGAGACAAGCCAUACUUUGGAGGGGAAAGUUUUGGGUUUGUGGAUAUGGCCCUUAUUCCUUACUACACAUGGUUUCCUGCUUAUGAGAAAUUUGGCAACUUUAACAUAGAAGCAGAGUGUCCUAAGAUUGUGGAAUGGGCAAAAAAAUGUAUGCAAAAGGAGAGUGUCUCAAAGUCUCUUGCUGAUCCGGACAAAGUCUAUAAUUUUAUUGUGAUGGUAAGAUGCUGGUUCCCUACUUAUGAGAAAUUUGGCAAUUUUAGCAUAGAGGCAGAGUGUCCUAAGAUUGUGGCAUGGGCUAAGAGGUGUAUGCAAAAGGAGAGUGUCUCAAAGUCUCUUGUUGACCCUGGCAAAGUCUAUGAUUUUGUUGUGAUGUUGAGAGAGAAGGCGGAUCUAGAGUGAGUUCUGCGUAAGAAAAAGUAUACAUAUAAUAAGAUCACAUAUAUUGUGAAUCCACUUAUUUAGCUUCUAAGUGUUUCAACCUGUUAGACAUCUAUUGUUUGUGUUGAUGAUAUGGAUUAUGCAGCAAGGAGUAAAAUGCUGUUUAUUACCUGGCAUUUUAUACAGUGAAUAAUGUAAGAUUUGCAGGUUUUACUUUGCUACUAAGAGACUACUCCUUUAUAUCUCUUGUCUUCUCCUCUCUUCAUCUAUUAGAACAUGCCAUUACUAUUUGAUAAUCUUCUGAUCACAUGAAGUGUUGCUAUGUUAUAAGAGAGCAGGUCUCAAGUGUUCAAUUAAAUUUUUGCUCUGCAUCUUGUCUAGGCAAACAUGAAAGUAACUCUGUAUGUUCUACCUUUAAUGAGGGAAGUUCAGGGAACAAAUUGCUUAGAAUAUGCAGCAGAAGAGUAAGUAGCCAUACCUUUCUUUACAUGAUCAUUUUUCAGUCUUCUGCAAUCGAAGUAGAAUUGUACUGAGUGUGUGGUUUGCUAGUUGCUGUCUAGAAGAAUAAAACCCUUACAACUGACUUUACAUGGAGUCAGAACAAAUGUUCGUUAAUAAAUAUGGUGAGAUAAUUCAAGAAUAUUUUGCUCUACAUGUGGGAUUAAGUGACCACUCAUCUCCGCUAGUAGCGGCGGAUCCAAGAUUUAAACUCUAUGGAUUCAACUUUUAAAGUUCUUAGUACCAUUAUAUAUGGUCAUAAUCAUAUGCUCCCGAUUUAUAGGCUCGAGAGUCCGUCCUAGGCAUGAGCCCGGACAUGGUCAGGUCCGAGACCAGUGAAUCAGACCGGAGCUCGAAGACAGAAUACAAUGUCAACGAGGAAUACCAGAGUCAAGUAUGCUCGACCCUGAAAUAGUACCGUUAUGGAUUUGUAACAGUAUGAGCUAGAUUCUCGCCAUGUCCCCGAAGUCAUGACGCAAAUCAUUGAAUAGGAUUGUACGAUUCCGUACUAGGCGGUUAGACAGCUGUACCAAGAAUAUUCCUUAUUUAGGGUUCCCCUAUUAUAUAAAGGGGACUGCAAUCAUUUGUAACAUCAUCUAAUCAUUAAGCAAAGAAUAUACUCUCGACUUUAUCGCCUACUGUUCAUUAGAACUAUCCUUAGCUCUACUGCUCUUACUUUACUUUCCUUGUCAAAUUAUUUUUAUUGUUCUAAACCCACCUCGAGAUUACUAAGCUCGAGGUCACUACUGCUAAGUAACGUUGGUUUGAUUCACUAUCCUUGUCUAGUUUGCUUUUACAUGUGAAAAGACCCAAGAUUUGAUUGGUUCCCGCGUGGGUUUAACUUUUUUACUGUUCUGUCAAAUGAAGGUAAUUUCUCACAAGUGUAACUUUGGAACUAUGAUGAAGUUAAAAAAGAUAUUUUGGCAUACUCCUAUUUUAAGUUACCUCCAGAUAAUCUUAGGAAUUGGGAUGUGUUAUAAAAGCCUUAGGGAACUUUGACCAUAAUUGCAUUUGGAAAGCACAAUGCCACGACAAACUGAAAACACACUUCUAUCUAUAUUUUUAUUUUAUUAUGAGUGAAGAAAAUCUUUGAAAAGCAAACCCAAUUCGUCGAGUUCAAUUGAAGAUGCAAUUAAUUAAUUUGUUUUCUUUCAAAUAUCUACUUCUUAAGCCGCCCUAUAUGACUAGUAUGUGUGGAUAGAAAUAAACGUCGGGUUCAUUAUCUACACACUAUUUUCAUAAAUCUUCUUGAUUUUGAUUGAUAGUUUUUACGACAAAUAAAAUUACCGUUUUGACUGCUUCUCAAAAUUCUUUUUGGUGGCCGUCACAACACUUUGAAAGUUCUCUUGCGUAUAAAAUCCGUAACAGUUUGUGCGUUACAAAUUUUAUUGGAGAGCUACUUUAUAAUCAUUUUGGUAGCACCGUUUUCAUCUUCACAUCUUACUUUUAACUUUCUUUAAAAAAAAUAAAAAUAAAAAUAAAAAUGAGUCACGUUAUAUUGCCACUUUUGAAGAGAGUACAUAUGGAGGAGGAUAUACCCUUGCCUUCUAUACCAGAAAAUAGAAUUGUGCAUACAAUUGGAAACAAAAGUAAUUAAUUGACAUAGCCAAAAACAUUAUAAUGUAAAUAACGCUGAUACUUCAAGGAGACUCAAAGACUAUGCCGAUUGGUUUUCUCUUCUUGACUCGAAUGAAGGAAGUUGCAAUCUGUCCGCAUUUAGAAGUCUGACUUCGCAUUGAAUCAAAAUUAGUGUAAGUGCAAUCAUCGACAGAGUUGUGGCUCAAUGAUGAUAGUGUAUUGGUGGGAAUUCGACCCUAACGAUAAUUGAUGAAUCAGACCCUGCUUUAAGUUAAUUCAUCAUUAACUAAUGGUAUGACCAUUAAUCAUUAAUAAUAUUUAAUCUUCAUUUGGUUCGACCGACAUGGCCACAGCCUGUCUACCGUCUUGAAGAAGGUACUCCGACGUGGUCACGACCAUUUUUAUCGCCAGCUCACCCAAUUUGCUGCUAUAAAUACUAAGAGAAAGAACCCUAGAAGGGGGCUGCUUCUUCUUCAUCACUAGUCUCAAGAAAAGAGAGAGCAUCAUUGUAAGGCUCUGAACCCCUCCAUAGAGGGGCAGACCGAAUCACUCCUAUCAAUAAAAGCUCUCUACACAUUUCUUCUUAAUGAAAAUACUCGCUUCUUAUUUCUUUCUUUUGGUCUUUUGAUUUAUUACGAUCUGCUAUGAUUGGCCCUCAACUUAUUUUGAUUGUUUUAGGCUUGCAAAGUGUAUGAUAACUUUGAGCUAAACAGAGUUAAGCGACGAAUAAUAUAAAUAUUCAUAUUGUCCAUGAUUAUCCAUGAUUUUUUUAAUAUGAGCACUUUUAGGAGAAUUCCUAAUCUCCCAAAUUUGAGGAAUCCCCAAUUUAAGGCUUUACAAAUAUAAAAGUUAAAUCGAUUGAUUAUCCAUUUUCUAAAUGAAUAAUAUGGUUCUUAUCCAUAUUUGAUCCGUUUUAAAAUAUUUUAUUAUGUAACUCAUUUUUAGUGGAUAUUAAUAUUAAUAAAUAAUUAUUUUUUAAAAUCAUUUUGCAACCACUAAUAGUAUGUAAGCCUUUCACAACUCUUGAAGAAUAAUUUGGCGUCGUCUGUGGGGAUUUCAAAGCAGAAUCGCGUAGUUCUUCCUUGGAUCAAAAGGAAAGAAAUGCCAGAAAAGCAACCCCGCUCGCAUAAGCCAGAGCAACAUGUUGGGUAAAAGGAAGAAGAAGUGCAAGAAGAAGAAGAAGUAAGCCCCCUCCCCAUGGGGAGAGCACAUAUAAGGUACCCUCACCUCCUCGGUACAGGACCCUGCCAAAAUAAAAAUGGCACAAAGGCAUCCCAAAUCGAGAUCCAUAACGGGGCAACCUUUACAAACUGGUCGAAAAAGCUACACACGAAUCGUGCGAGAUCUCAAAUCAAAGCCGAUCUCCGACGCCCUACACAUAACGAUUAUGUGGGAGGAAAAUUUCAACUACAAGUUAAACCGGGCCUCAAGCCAUGUGUCUUCUCUAUCAAAAAAUUACAAGAUUCAACUACAGUUGAACAACGACUCAGGCUGCCGAAAAGUUCAACUACAAGUUGAACCGGGACUCAGGCCAUAUUCCUUCUCCAUAAAAAAAUUACAAGAUUCAACUAUGGUUGAACAACGACUCAGGCUACGUGCCUUCACCGAAAAGUUCAACUAAGAGUUGAACCGGGACUCAGGCAAUGUGCCUUCGCCAUAAAAAAAUUACAAGAUUCAACUACGGUUGAACAACGAAUCAGGUUACGUGCUUUCACCAAAAAGCUCAACUACAAGUUGAACCGGGACUCAGGCCAUGUGCCUUCGCCAUAAAAUGAUUAAAAGAUUCAACUACAGUUGUACAACGACUCAGGCUACGUGCCUUCACCGAAAAGUUCUACUACAAGUUGAAUCGGGACUCAGGCCAUGUGCCUUUGCCAUAAAAAAAUUACAAGAUUCAACUAUGUUGAACAACGACUCAGGCUACGUGCCUUCACCGAAAAGUUCAACUACAAGUUGAACCAGGACUCAGGCCAUGUGCCUUUGCCAUAAAAAAAUUACAAGAUUCAACUACGGUUGAACAACGACUCAGGCUACGUGCCCUCACUGAAAAUUUUAACUACGAGUUGAACCGAGACUCAGGCCAUGUACCUUUACCAUAAAAAAAUUAUAAGAUUCAACUACGGUUGUCGAUACCCAUUUUUUCCCUACAUAUUUUUUAUAUAUACUCAAAUACUUUCAAAAUAGUAUAUGUAUUUAUAUAUAAGCACGCCCAAAGGUUUUGGUAUUUUUCUUCAAAUUUUGAAGGUUUUUUAGAAUUGAUUUAUUGUCUAUUUUUAACAGUACAAAAUCCAAAUUAUUCCCAGAUUAUCAUUUUUUUGGCGAAUAACGCAUGAAAUUGCAAUUUAUAUCUAUGUUACAAUUAACCACAUUUUAUAAUAAUAAAAUUAUUUUCGGCAUUUUUAGAUUAUAUUUUUAUUUUUUAAUUAGUUAUGUGUUUUCAAUUUAUUUUUUAAAUCAUUUCUUACUAUUUUAUAAAAUAAAAAGGGAAAAAUUGGCUAUUUAAAAUUUGGCUAGAUUUAAUUUCAAAUAUAGCCAAAAUUGACCCCAAUUUCAACCCAUCUCAAGUAACCCAUACCCAAAUCAAUUAACCCGGACCAACUUUAUUUCAAUCAGAGCCGUUGAUCAAUUGAGAUCAAUGGCCAAGAUUAGUUUACCUAAAAUAAAUCAAACAACCCCCCAAACCCUUCAUAUUCAGAUACCGGUAUCUCUCUCUCCCUAACCCUUCAGCUCCCCAUUCUCUCUAGAACCUUCUGGUUCGUCUUCUCCGAUGGCUCUUAUCGCCUCUCCGACCAACUCCAGCCUCGCCUCUUUCGAUCAUUAGCUGCCGUGAAACCUUAUCUGAUCGGCUCCCUCCAUACUUUUGAAACUCCAAGAGUUUCCACUAUGCAAGAAGAGCACUGAAGCCUCUCCUAGGUCCAUUUCCGGCCUUCUCUCCAACGAUUUUCAGUCCGAUGGUGCUAUGAACACCAUUAUUAACUAGUUUCACAGCCAGGUUCCCUACCUCACUGAUUCUAGAAUGGGUUGGAGAUUAUUACCGCAACGAAAAAUAGGCAGCAGAGAGAGGAAGGAAGGCUUUCUUUUCACUUGAAGAGACCGGAGAUUAUGGCAACUCGAGAUGGUCAGCUCAGAGAGGGAGGAGGGCAAAGCUGAUUCUGGAAUAUGUUGGAGUUGAUAGUAGAAGUUGAUAUCUAGACGUUGAAGCGAGGUGAGGCAUCGAAGACCUUCAGUCGGAAGUGAAUGGAGCUCAUCAUGGUCAAAUAAUAUAAGCUCAGAAAGAGACGAGGGAAUCCCUUCUUCCAACAGUGUCUGCAUUUGAAGUCCAUAGAAAUUCAAGAGAGGUGAGGCUUUUGAGAAUUUGGCUGCUUAAUGUUUUCAGAUUGGCUAUGCAAAGAGUUCGAAUAGAGCAAGGCAACUCCCAACCCGUAGUUAUAGUUUACUCGUAUACUUUAGGAGUUGUGUUAUUCAACAAUAACCUAAAUAUGCACUCUCUUCCGAGUUAUGCACAAUAAAUAGGCACAACUAAUUGAGGAUCUUGUCAAUUAACUAAACAAGAACAUAGUUGAAUAAAUAAAGUUUGAAACUAGCAAUUUGUAUUCACAUAAACAAGAAGUUCAUCUCCCAAUAGGUUCCAUCAAAAUCUUAGACAAGGGAUUUAACUACUCAUGGCUAUGGUUAAAAAACCUAAGAUAAGAUUCAUCAUAAACUAGCAAUAAAAAUCAAAGAAAAGAAGAAAGGUGUUGGUAUUCUCUCACAAUUGUUUUCCUUGCUAUGAAACACUAAAAAUCAAUACAUGCCUCCCAUGGGCGAAAUCUAUUGACUAAAAUAAGAUUUAGGGCUAAAAUCCCGUGUUGACACUUCUGUCCCUGAACUUUCUUGCGCCUACUGUGGUUCUGCCGCGGUAGCGGUAGAACCGCGGCCAAACAGUCCCUCUGAUUCUCAUUUUGUCCGCAACAACAUCUCACUGCGGUUGUGCCGCGGUCGUGAUGGAACUGCGGCAGUACACUUCCUCUGAUUCUUCAGCCUGUUUUUGGCGUGGUUCACUUAAGAAUUUUCACGGUUGGCCUCUUUUUCUUCAUUUUUGACUCCAAAAGUACUUUCGAGCCUUCCCUAGUCACAUAUAACCUUCAAAUCAUGAAAAAUACUCAUAAGAGCAUUUUGUUAUCACUUUAAUUACCAAAACUAUGCAAGAAGGUGGUUAUUUAGGGCUUGAAUAUAGUUGAAUUCACCUAUUAUCAUAUUUUAAAGAAAAUUUUAUAAAAAGUCUUACAAAUAUGUCUAAAGUACAUAAAGUAAAUAUAAAGUAUAUAUUUAUAUGUCGGUUUGGUUCGGGUUUUUUCAAAUCAAAUCAAACCUUGUCGGAUUUUUUAACUUGUUUGAUUUGACUUUUCGGUUGGUGCAGUUUUUCGAUUCGAUUUGUGUACCCUUAAUUUUAAAGUAGAACUUUUUGUAUCCCAACUUAAUUUACGUUGUAUAUGAAAAUAUUAUAUACAUAUAUAAUGCUACAUAUCAUUUUCGAGAACAUACUAUUCAAUCUUCCAUACAUAUAAAUACAAUUAAUGAAGCAGCGGCAAAUAACACCUAUAUAUUGAAAAAUCCGGAGCAGUUGGGAUAGAUGUUACAAAGCCCAAAGGGUUUCUGCGGGGCAAAUUUUGUUGGAGAGCUCUUGUAUAAUUAUUAUAUUAAUUUGCGACACUAUUUUCAACUAUAUAUCUUAUUUUUCUUCAUAACAAAUAUUUAACAACUACAUAAGCGAUUGGUAUAAAUAUUCAGGGUCUCAACUUUGCCACUUAACUACCAAUUCUUGUUAGUAAAAAUAAGCACGCUUUAGUUACUGUGUAAGUAUCAUAAAUCAAUGACACAUUUAAAAAGUAUACUCCAUAAGACUUAGGUUAAGUUUAGUUGGUAAAUAAAGUUAGCUCAAGUUAUUCUUAAUUAGGUAGCAACCUUUGAAUUAUCAAUCACAACAAACCGUAUAUACUUUUAGCCCGUUUGGCUUAGCUACAAAAAUCAGCCUAUUUUGAGAAGUAUUUUUUUCUUAAGUGCUUUUCUCAUAAGUACUUUUGGUAAGAAACAGUUUGUAUUUGAUUAAUUAAUUUAAAAAAUACUUUUGAGCAGCAAUUAAUAUUUGGUGAAGCUUUUAAAAAUAGCUUCUAAGUGUAUCUUUCUCAAAAGUGUUUUUCAAAAAAGUUGUUUUGGAGAUACGCUAGAUUUUUCUGUUUUUUCUCAAAAAUAUUUUUUUCCCUAAAAAUUUGGCCAAACAUUUCAAUUUUUUGAAAAUAAAAAUAAUGUUAUGAAAACAAAGUAAUUCUAGAAUUGAAAAGGCUUGGCCUAUAUGAAACAAAUCCAAAUGUAAAGCUAGAUUCUGACUAGAAUCCAGUUUUUUCUUCUAUUUUUUAAGUUGUAAAAGAAGAGACAAGAAUCCUCACAAGUGCAAUUUUCGACCACCAUAGAAGGGAAAGAAGUGUUAUACUUUUCUACUUUUAAGUUCUUAGCUUGUAUAUAUAUAGAAGCGUGGCAUCUUCGAAUAAAAAAUUAAGAAAAAUAUACAAAUUCAUCGCGAAAUCACUUACGUGUUUUUAUUAGUAUAUUCUUUUAAAAUUUCUCUAAUAACUCACCAUUCGUCGAGUUCAGUUCAAAGUGCACAUAAUUGUCCUUCUAUUAACUUUUUCUUUAGUCUAUUUAGCUAGUGGAGCAUCUUUAUGCAAAGACAUAAAGAUAAUUUUUCAUCUCGAUAUCAUCGAUGCAGUAUUUUCAUAUUUUUUGAUUUUGACUAAUUAUUUCUUUUAUGAUAAGUUUUACUAAUAAAUUUCUUAGUGAUAAUAAUAAGAAAGUAAUACGUAGUUAUAGGGGACUUGGUCCACACACGACAUCAGCUUAAUUUGGACCAACCUCUUGUUCCCUCCUAUAUAUAUUUGUACCAUCACUAUGGCUUAUCUUCAAUACAGAGCACAUAUUCUACUCUAAUAUUAUCUUGCAAUUCUGUUAAACAAUCCUUAAUUUUUCAGCAAAAAAAUGGCAGAUGAAGUUGUCCUUUUGGAUACCUAUGUAAGCAUGUUUGGGAUGAGAGUUAGGUUUGCCUUGGCUGAGAAAGGCAUACAGUAUGAAUACAAGGAGCAGGAUUUGCUGAACAAAACCCCUCUUCUCCUACAAAUGAACCCAAUUCACAAGAAAAUCCCAGUCUUGAUUCACAAUGGAAAACCAAUAUGUGAAUCUCUCAUUAUUGUUCAGUACAUAGAUGAAGUUUGGAAGGA
rnacentral:lncRNA from 1 species